GUGCAGCAGUCGCGAAACCUCCGCAAUACACGAAAGUGUGACGGGGUCAUCCCGAGUGUCACCCGCUGAGGAUGACUUUUCUCCAGUGUAAGGAGCUGGAGGAAUAAGGAGAGGGCAAGUCUGGUGUCAGCCGCCGCGGUAAUACCAGCUCUCCGAGUGGUAGGGACGAUUAUUGGGCUUAAAGCGUCCGUAGCCGGCUCAGUAAGUCUUCUGUUAAAUCCAACGAUCUAAUCGCUGGACUGCAGAAGAUACUGUUGGGCUAGGGGGCGGGAGAGGCCGACGGUAUUUCCGGGGUAGGGGUGAAAUCCUAUAAUCCCGGGAAGACCACCAGUGGCGAAGGCUGUCGGCUAGAACGCGCCCGACGGUGAGGGACGAAAGCUGGGGGAGCGAACCGGAUUAGAUACCCGGGUAGUCC
rnacentral:rRNA from 1 species